ACGUAUCUCCGGCGAGGUCGUUCGCCCUGCUCCGGUCGAGAGGUCGUGCAGCGGGCGUCGGCCGAGUCGAACCUUCACAAACCCCAACGUGCACCUUCACGGCGGAAGGCCGCGGGCGAGAGCCCGUGCGCUCGAAGCCGUCUUAUUAAACCCCAGUUUAAAAAGAAUGCAAGCGGCCUCUGUGUCGCCUAAAUUUGAAA
rnacentral:misc_RNA from 1 species